rnacentral:tRNA from 1 species
CGGGGCAUAGCGCAGCCUGGUAGCGCAUCUGCUUUGGGAGCAGAGGGUCGGGAGUUCAAAUCUCUCUGCCCCGACCA